UUACAAGGGUUUAUUAUCAGUCGCAUUCCCUGGUAAUGUAGUCAGAGGUGACUUUUCUAGUGGUAUGAACAUUUAGUGACCUCCAAAUGGCUGCCGAAAGCAUCAAUCUAUUGGACCUAGGCAACGAUGAAAUGUCGGAGAUGUUCAGACAGAAGCCUUGCUGUACCCUUCACACAGAUCAAUGUUUAGACUUUUACUGCAGAAAAUGUCACGAACCCAUAUGCAGCAAUUGCACUAUCGUGACACACAAUGCAAUGAAUGGACACAGAAUUUUUGAUUUUCGUCAGUAUUAUGAAAGUCACUCAGAUAAAUUCCGCCGACAAAGAGAGACCUAUAACAAAACGAUGAAUGAUUUGGCUAAUUGUGUCAAUAUCCAUAGUUCAGCCAUUAGACUUGUCGAAGAAAAGAAAACCGCUCUUUUAAACGCGGUGGAACGUGAUCUUAAUGAAAACAUAGAGCAACUCAAAGCACGAGCCAAUGUUCUGAAACAAAAGAUUAAAAGAAAAUUUAAUUCUCAACAAGAAACGUUUCGAUCAGAAAAAGAAAGUCUUGAAACUCGCAAAAAGAAAUUAGUUUCAUUAUUAAAUGACUAUGACAAGUCAGUGGAUAUUUCUGACAAAUUCGCAACUGUAAAAAUGUACCACCAACUGAAAGCAGAUUACGGAGAUCAUCGAUCGGCUGUGUCCAGAACUAAUCAGGUUCCAAUUCAAAAUUACUGGGUGUUCUUCGAAGAAGACUGGAAAUUUCAGAGCGCUCUUCGAAGCCGAGGAAAAAUUAGCAGAACAAUUAAUACCACUAAAGUAUUGUACUAAAAAGAAGUCGAGCUGUUUAUUUACUUUGGUUGGGGGGCGUAUUUCAGUUGUAACAAUAAAUUCCAGGCACUUCAUACUCUGGUACAUCAUAGGGUGAUUUAAAAAUCAAUAAAACAUAUAAAAAUCUAAGAAUAUAAAUGUAGAUAAAUGUCAGCGGGUUAUUUUGGGAUAGUCAUUGGGUGACAUUUUGUUCGUGUUAUGGUGUGACAAUGUAGGCACAUUGGGUGACCUUGGGUUCAUGUUAUAGUGUGACAAUGUAGGCACAUUGAGUUCAUGUUAUAGUGUGACAAUGUAGGCACAUUGGGUGACCUUAGGUUCAUGUUAUAAUGUGACAAUGUAGGCACAUUGAGUUACCUUGGGUGCAUGUUAUGGUGUGACAAUGUAGGCACAUUGGGUGACCUUAGGUUCAUGUUAUAGUGUGACAAUGUAGGCACAUUGAGUUCAUGUUAUAGUGUGACAAUGUAGGCACAUUGGGUGACCUUAGGUUCAUGUUAUAGUGUGACAAUGUAGGCACAUUGAGUUACCUUGGGUGCAUGUUAUGGUGUGACAAUGUAGGCACAUUGGGUGACCUUAGGUUCAUGUUAUAGUGUGACAAUGUAGGCACAUUGAGUUCAUGUUAUAGUGUGACAAUGUAGGCACAUUGGGUGACCUUAGGUUCAUGUUAUAGUGUGACAAUGUAGGCACAUUGAGUUACCUUGGGUGCAUGUUAUGGUGUGACAAUGUAGGCACAUUGGGUGAUCCUGGGUUCAUGUUAUAGGCAUAUUGGCUGACAUUGGGUUCGUGUUAUAGAGUGACAUUGUUGGCGCAUUGGGUGACAUUGGGUUCGUGUUAUAGAGUGACAAUGUAGGCGCAUUGGGUGACAUUGGGUUCAUGUUAUAGGCAUAUUGGGUGACAUUGGGUUCGUGUUAUAGAGUGACAAUGUAGACAUAUUGGGUGACAUUGGGUUCAUGUUAUGGAGUGACAAUGUAGGCGCAUUGGGUUCAUGUUAUAGUUUGAGAAUGUAGACGUUGUCAGGAUGAAUGUAUGCUUUUAAUGUAUGCAUAAUCAGGAGAAAUACUUGUGCUUUCAGACAUCACUCAUAAAAUGAGGAAAUUACACUUGAUAUAGCGGACACGACACAAAUAAUACGUUUAAUAUAUACAAUAUCUUGGUCUCUAUUAAGUUCUUAUAAUGACUGCCACUUACUGGCUGCUGAUUGCUCAAGGUUUAAAGUAUUCCCCCCCCCCAAAAAAAAAACACGAGUGUUGUCAACUACUCAACUCUCAAACUAGAGUGUCCUACUGGAGGGCACCAACUUUGGUUUCUUUCAACUUGACAGCAUAUAAUUAUCAUAAGUAGGGAUCAAAAUAGAUCUGAAAGUUAUCUCUUAUUGCUUAAUAAUACAAUUAUUUGGUUCAAAUUGAAUUCAAUAAAUAUUUGACAAAUGUUUCUCAA